GGAAGUAUUGAGCAAUUGGUUGGCUCGCGAGACUGUAACUCUCGUUUCUUAAAUGAACAUGUAGGUUCGAGUCCUACUACUUCCA
rfam:Algibacter lectus DNA, contig: contig00001, strain: JCM 19300.